UAACCUAUGGUAUAAUAGGGUUACAGAAGUUUUAUGGGUGGUGGCGUCAAUUGCGAAAGUGAGUGAUGCCUAUGAUUUACGAAAAUCUAGAAAGUUGUUUGUUGUGUCUGUUUAUGACACCUUAUCAUUGAUGAUCGCGUUUGCGAUGUUAAUGAUUACAAUUGAUCGCAAAGA
rnacentral:sRNA from 1 species